rnacentral:rRNA from 1 species
UGCCAGCAGCCGCGGUAAUACGGGGGAUGCAAGCGUUAUCCGGAUUUAUUAGGUUUAAAGGGUUCGCAGGCGGAAUUUUAAGUCAGUGGUGAAAUCUUGCAGCUCAACUGUAAAAUUGCCAUUGAUACUGGAUUUCUUGAAUUAGUGUGAAGUGGUUAGAAUGUGUAGUGUAGCGGUGAAAUGCAUAGAUAUUACACAGAAUACCAAUUGCGAAGGCAGAUCACUAACACUAUACUGACGCUGAGGGACGAAAGCGUGGGGAGCGAACAGGAUUAGAUA